rnacentral:tRNA from 1 species
GGGGGUGUAGCUCAAUGGAUAGAGCAAAGACCUUCUAAGUCUUCGGUUGCAGGUUCGACUCCUGUCACUCCCG